GCUACUUUCAUUCAGGGCUCUUGUUAGCAUCUUAUAGUAAAGGCGUGGAUGAGGAGGGGGAAAAAUAAAGCUUUGACAGAUGGUACUCAGCGUUUGACUCCUGCUGAGCUCAGCAGGACCUGUGGUUUCCAAGGUUAGAGCUGUCAAAAUGGCUCUGUCUAUCAAGUGAAUAACAAAGUGUAGACUGCCUGCCUGUUUCCUAUACAAAACUUAGAUUUCAUUUGCCAUUAUUGUCGGUCUUUCUGCUGAUUUAAUAACUUCUAAGGAGAAGAACUGGGGGUUCUGAUGCAGCCUCACUAUUUAAGAAACUACUUGGAAAGGGAAUUCUCAAGGGCUGAAAGAGGUAGGCCGCGAUCUGAUCUCUUUCUCUUUGGUUUCUCUCUGAGGUUUCAAGACUUAAAAAGGAUUCAAAAGACACCAAAGGUUCACUUUUGGCUGAAAGCUAAAUGUGAACCUUUCAAAAUGAACUCAUUGCUGCCUCUCUCUCAAAAGGGCUUCAGAUGGUCAGAUAAAGUACCUGAUGCUGAAAAACAGGAAAUUGAAUCAUGUCUCCAAAAUGUGCCUUUUGUCAUGCACUGUUACAGCUAUAUUUCUUGA
rnacentral:lncRNA from 10 species